rnacentral:rRNA from 1 species
CAGCAGCCGCGGGAAUACGAAGGGGGCUAGCGUUGCUCGGAAUGACUGGGCGUAAAGGGCGCGUAGGCGGAUUGCGCAGUCAGAUGUGAAAUUCCUGGGCUUAACCUGGGGGCUGCAUUUGAGACGCGUAGUCUAGAGUGUGAAAGAGGGUCGUGGAAUUCCCAGUGUAGAGGUGAAAUUCGUAGAUAUUGGGAAGAACACCGGUGGCGAAGGCGGCGACCUGGUUCAUAACUGACGCUGAGGCGCGAAAGCGUGGGGAGCAAACAGGAUUAGAUACCCGGGUAGUCCCUGUCUCUUAUAC